GCGAAGGCAGCGUACCGGCGCCACACUGACGCUGAGGCACGAAAGCGUGGGGAUCGAACAGGAUUAGAUACCCUGGUAGUCCACGCAGUAAACGAUGAAUGCUGGUUGUCCGGGUCGAAUGAGAUCUGGGCGGCGAAGCGAAAGCGAUAAGCAUUCCACCUGGGGAGUACGCCGGCAACGGUGAAACUCAAAGGAAUUGACGGGGGCCCGCACAAGCGGAGGAACAUGUGGUUUAAUUCGAUGAUACGCGAGGAACCUUACCCGGGCUCAAACGGGAGCGGAAUGGACCAGAGACGGUUCAGCCUACGGGCCGCUUCCGAGGUGCUGCAUGGUUGUCGUCAGCUCGUGCCGUGAGGUGUCGGCUUAAGUGCCAUAACGAGCGCAACCCCCGCCGGCAGUUGCUAACGGGCAAUGCCGAGGACUCUGCCGGGACUGCCGCCGCAAGGCGAGAGGAAGGCGGGGAUGACGUCAAAUCAGCACGGCCCUUACGUCCGGGGCGACACACGUGUUACAAUGGGCGGUACAGCGGGAAGCCAGGCGGCGACGCCGAGCGGAACCCGAAAGCCGUUCUCAGUUCGGAUCGGAGUCUGCAACCCGACUCCGUGAAGCUGGAUUCGCUAGUAAUCGCGCAUCAGCCAUGGCGCGGUGAAUACGUUCCCGGGCCUUGUACACACCGCCCGUCAAGCCAUGGGAGCCGGGGGUGCUUGAAGUGCGUCGCCGCGAGGCGCGCCCUAGAGCAAAACCGGUGACUGGGGCUAAGUCGUAACAAGGUAACCGUAA
rnacentral:rRNA from 1 species